GGAAAGUUUAUCUCCAUCUCCAUUCAUUAAGACUCUUCAGUUCCGCCUCUCUCUGCUUGCUUACGCUCUCAGUCUCACACACACUUGGAAUUUUAGCAUCUCUGAGCUCGUCUCCAUCUCCGUCUCGAGACACAAAUCAUGGCUACAUUACUACUGGCACUUGCUACACUAUCUUUGGUUGCAGCCAGAAUCGAAGCAGGCCACAACGUCACCAUCUCUCUGUUGGACUCCGCUAUUGCCAGAGGAGCUGGGCCCUUUUGUGCAUUAUAUGGGUAAAUUAGUAAAUGUACAGUACCAAAACCGCCCAAAAACGAAAUGUGCGAAAUUUAAGAGGGAUUUUGCUAUCACCUUCCAUCUACUCCCUCAAUUCAUCACUGCAAAUUGUCUCCCCACAUUCCCACCACUCUCUAAACCCUAGCCACCACCUGAAGCAACCGGAAAUCUACAGAGAGACCCCGAUUUUUGGAAGGUUUGCCGUCCAAACAUUAUUCCCGUAGUGCGCGACCAUCUUGUUGAAGGCGACGAAAAGAUACAUUAUGAUGAAGAGAGGCCGACCUUCAAGAUCUCAACCAACGCCGGCUGAAGCAGUGAAGCAGCUUAGAUUGGACAUCGAUGAAGCGAUCGAUGAUGUGAUUCCAGUUGGAAUUGCCCAGAAAUUCUGGGAGAGAUUAGCAGAGGCCGGGACAAGUACAACUCAGGAAGAGCCUGAGCAUAGGAAACCAAGGGGGAGGAAGGUCGACCAUCUAUACAGCCUUAGAUAUGGCCACUGGUGGGGAAGUGCUGAGCAAACUAAAUUGCUGUAUACAAUCAUUACAAAAACAUAUCAAGAAAAAUUAUACAUUACAGUACAUACAUUGUACAUCACUGAUUAGAUAGAUUACAUUUUACAGUAUUAUUUGUACAUUACAUUUAUCGAUUAAUACUACCCCCUAAUCGAGAUGAUAAAUAAACCCCAGAGGAAGGACUGAUACUCGUGGACUUUAGUUA